rnacentral:lncRNA from 7 species
AUGGAAAAUAUAAGGUUCAGCUGCCUCCAGCUCUUCUCCCCGACUUGCUUUCCCGUGCUGUGGAGGAAGGGCACGUCUCCGCAGCUGACAUCUCCCUUGGCCUGCGCUUGCACCGAGCCGCUGCCAGAACGGGAACUGCAGGCGUCUGUUGAACAACAAAGCAAACGCCCAAGCAUUUCGGGUGUGAUGUCCCCAGCAUUCCAAGGAGAGAUUACGCAGCAGCAGCCCAAACGUCUGGAAUGGCUUCUUUCUAGGAGAGAAGCAAAGCCUUGGCGGAGCCAGAGCAGGAGCUUCUUUCCUGAAGGGAAGAGAACCUCCAGCCAUCGCUAUCCAUCUCCUCCCCGGCCAAAGGCCAAAGGCCAAAAGCCAAAGGCCAAACCCCAAAUCCCAUAUCCCAAAUCCCCAAUCCCAAAUCCCAAAUCCCCGCCUCCAUUGCUAACAUCAGAGCACAGCAAGCCGUACGUGUGCAGAAGCAUCCCAGAUUCCUAUGGCUCUGUAGCGGUGCGCUAAAGAGGGCCUCGGUCCUACAGCCUCACGGCAGGAACUUGGCAAACAAGGAGCUUCUCACGGGACUGCUCACUUGCAUCCACUGCCAUCGCAUCCACAGCCCGCAGCCCGCAGCCGUCGGGUGAAGCCCUCAAGAGUACAACGGAGGUCGAGUGCUGAAAGCACGGGAGAGUUCCCGCAGCAACUGCUGCUAACAGCAGACGCUCCCAGCAACUCCAAGGAAGCCCUGAGAGCCCCGAGCCGUGCCCCAGGACCGCUUCCUCUCUCGAUUCACCGCCACCGCCACGGGAAAAGCAGACGGGAAAAGGGCACCGACGAAAGCUGCCGAUCGCGUUCACGACGGAGGCACUGCCGCACUCGGGAGGACGGGAGAGCCCGGGGCUACUCGGCUCGAAGCGCUUCCCGCCCGCCCCGUUUCCCCACCUGGCAGCGCGGCGGCGGGUCGGCUCCGGGUGCGCUUUCCGGCCCUUCCGGCAGGCGGCGCCACAGCAGUGAACCGCUGGCUUCACUCCGGCAUCGGGCACCGCGUCGCCACGCGGGCGGCGCCGCGGGAAGAGGCCGCCAGCGGUACGCGAGUACGCGCCGACUGGACGCAGGCGUGCUUAGCGGCGUCGCGGAAAGAAAGCCGGUAGCAACGGCACGCGUUCUAACGGGCGGCGUACCUCCUAGCGAGCCGUCCGUCGGAGAUCGCCGGCAAGCGAGCCGCCUCACGGGAGCGAGCGUGGUCGAGUUAGCGGCGCUCCUCCCCGUGCCAAAGGGAGCUGCUUUGCUCUGAGUCCGCAUUUGCGAGGACGACGAGGACGACGAGGACGACGAGGACGACGAGGACGACGAGGACGACGAGGAAGGGGCCGGCCGGAGGACGCUCGCGCGUUCACGCGUCUCCAGGGCGCGCGCAGAGCCGUGCGUCACUGCCACCGCACAGCGCCCGCCCGAGCCGCGCGUCGCCGCGGCAACGGCUUCUCCCCUCCUCCUCGCGGCUCCUCCUCUGCCUCUGCCUCUGCCUCUGCCU